AUUCUAAUGAACAAGGCCUACAGCUGCUAAAAAAAAGUGGAACCUCAACUCCGGAUUCCAAGGGACAGAAAAUUUGGAGAUCCCUCCACUAUCAAAAAAUUCUGAAAUGUCAAACACAGUAUAGGAAGAGAGUCCCAAUAUUUUAAUUAACCUCAUAUAGUGGUCGCACAAUUACUUUUUUUUUUUUCACUCAUGUAAAAUGGGAGAAUCAAGCAUAUCCCCAAUCUCUUGCUCAAACAUCUAUACUUGCUAGCUUCAUAGAAGAGCUUCAUUUAAGAAUUUGGAUUGAUAGGCGUGUCAAUGGGGGCAGAUUUAAAGACACAGUGUAUCCAGAUGUAUGAGUGUGAUAGAAGACUGAGGUCUGUGGAAUGUUUGAAGGGGGUAAGUUUGGGUAGGGGUUGUGGACAGAGAAGGAAGGGCAGAGGGAUUGUUUUAAGGAGGAAGAAGACAUUUAUGGGAUGAUGCUAAAGCUUUGCCCAAUUAUUGCACAAGGGUUGAACUCAAUACUAAAGAGGAAAAAACUACUAGACACGUUGAAUCAAAAUAAGAUAGAUAUUGCACUAAUAGAGGAAACACAAUGGACACAAUCACAGAAGAAAUUAAUCUACGAUAGACAACACCCAUACCAGUUUCAAUCCUGUAAGGGCCUAAGAGUAAGGGCACGUUAAUUCACAAAGAAAUAGAUAAAAAGGGGAGAUGUAUUAUUUUACUUUGCACAAUUAAUAAAGAAAUGUUCACUAUUGUUAAUGUGUAUGCCCCAAAUGAAAACCCUAUAAUAUUUUUGAAGCAUUAAUGUCACUAGUAAAUACAAUUUCACAAGGUAAAUUAGUAAUGGAAGGUGAUUUAAAUUCAAUUAGUGAUGUGGAUAUGGACAAAAUUCAAAUAGAAACAGAAAUAUAAAUAGUAAACAUAAGAAAGAGAGGGAGGGUUAGAAUCUCCAAAUGUGGUUAAAAUUCAUGAUGCAAUAAUGUUGGCACAUAUGGUAAAAUGGUGCAAAUGGGAAACACAUCAACAGUGGCAAUACAUGGAAAAACACGAAUAUGCA